rnacentral:rRNA from 1 species
CGGGACGGGUGAGUAACGCGUGAGCAACCUGCCUUUCAGAGAGGGAUAACGUUUGGAAACGAACGCUAAUACCGCAUGACAUUAUCUUAUCGCAUGGUAGGAUAAUCAAAGGAGCAAUCCGCUGAAAGAUGGGCUCGCGUCCGAUUAGGUAGUUGGUGGGGUAACGGCCCACCAAGCCGACGAUCGGUAGCCGGACUGAGAGGUUGGACGGCCACAUUGGGACUGAGACACGGCCCAGACUCCUACGGGAGGCAGCAG